rnacentral:rRNA from 1 species
AUUGAACGCUGGCGGCAGGCCUAACACAUGCAAGUCGAACGAGUGGCGCACGGGUGAGUAAUGUCUGGGAAACUGCCUGAUGGAGGGGGAUAACUACUGGAAACGGUAGCUAAUACCGCAUACCAUCAGAUGUGCCCAGAUGGGAAUAGCUUGUUGGUGGGGUAACGGCUCACAAAGGCGACGAUCCCUAGCUGGUCUGAGAGGAUAACCAGCCACACUGGAACGGAGACACGGUCCAGACUCCUACGGGAGGCAGCAGUGGGGAAUAUUGCACAAUGGGCGCAAGCCUGAUGCAGCCAUGCCGCGUGUAUGAAGAAGGCCUUAGGGUUGUAAAGGACGUUCAGCGGGGAGGCGUUACCGACAGAAGAAGCACCGGCUAACUCCGUGCCAGCAGCCGCGGUAAUUC